UGGCCGCCCCGUGACUGGUGACCGAGCGCGGCCGUGGCUCUUUAGAGACACUUGAGACUUUUUUUAUGUGCUACUUAAUUGAAACCAAAGAAACGUUUUCUGCACCUACUUCUUCUGCAACAAACUGUUCCAUUGAAAGAUAAAAUAAAAAUGAAAAAAAACCAAGGAAGCACGUCAGGAAGCAAACGAGUCCCACACUGUGUUUUACAGACAUCUCGGAUGUUUUCGGAAGCAGAACUCAAAGAAAGGGUUGACAAGAAUGAGAACAAAGCAAAACCAGUACAAUUGCUGCUUCAUUUGACAACUCCAGUCAUCUUAAAGUUGAAGAUUGUCUUUAAUUUGUGCCUAUGCAGUUUUUUCAAAAGAACAAGGAACAGAGCAACCAAAACCUCAACAGCUACAAUACCAAAGAUGAGGAUUCUCACUACUUGUGUUUCAGUUUGUUUUCUCCUCUUGCACGACUAAUGCACAUAACCCCACUGCUCUCUGGACAGACUGGUGUGUGCAGAGAGUAUCCCAGCAUCUUCCGGACCGGGAACUUGGAGUUACAACCGUGGGCACAGCCGAGAUGAAUUCAACUUUCAAGAAACCUUGGAUAUUGCUUUAAUUGCCCCUGAAGGAACAAGGAAUGUGCUCGAUGACUUCGGUUGAAUAGCUUUAUUGUGGAUCUCUCUAACCUACAGCUGAAUCCAAAGACCUGAGAAGGACUCAACCAGCAAACCUCGCUCAUCCCUGCGGGAGGGAAGGGCGAUCUCAGCCCUGCAGGAGGCACUGGGAACCUCCUCUCCCAAAGGAAGACACGGUAACUACACAGUGUUGCAAAGAGUGCGCUGGCUUCGGACACAGCCAGUGCUUUUCUUGCUUGUCACAAUUCCUAAGGAUUUUUAAGACAUGGGGAAACUUUCUACUUGGCCUCCUUUAUAUUUAUUAAGGGGAAUUUUUAUUGUUUAAAUUUUUUAAAAAGGCAAAGCUUAAAUUUUUUUUUUUUCCAGACACUUGUGGGUUUUGACCCGGUAUAUUAUCUAUCAGUAAUGUAAUUUAUUUAAUUUAGUCUUAGGGCAGGUCCUGAGAUCUCUGUUCAGUCUGAAUCCCACUGAGUCUCAUUUGAGUUUUUGAAUUCAGUGGGAGUUUUGCCUGAUUGCAGACUGGGGGGUCAGGCUCCCAUGUUAGCUAUUUGCAACUAUUUAAUUUACUCCUCUAUGAACUCAUUUGGGAUUAAUUUUGCUUAUUUAUCCCUUUGCCUGUUGUGGUGCAUCAGAGAUGCGAAGCCUGUUAGUAAAUACACUGAAGAGCUGGGGUUGCUUCCCAGAGCAGCCAGGUUCUGUGAGACAGGGAGAAACAACUCGUUCCAUGAAACAAGAGUCUAGUUCUAGUUCCCUCUUUUAGUUAAUUUUAAUUGUUUAAGUAUCAAAGUUUAAAUUAUUUAAGGUAAUCUCCUCCCAUCCGACUGGAAAGUGCAACAUACCUUCCUUAUGGCACGUGAAGCCUUCGUAAUUAUAACUUAUUUAUUUAACUUAUUCCUCACCACCCCAGGAUGCCCUUGUAGAGUUUUUAUUUUUGAUUUAGAAUUAUCUAUAAAGCACUGCAGCUGAUCUCCUGUAAGAACAGCAGAGCAAACUUUGAGGACGAGCAAUGAAUAUUCAAACCUAAAACCGUGUGUUCGGAAGAACAGUUUAAAAAAAAAAAAAAAGACACUGGGAUACUUUGCCUGAAUUUUGUGGCUUCUUAAAACUUAAGCUGGGGGUAAAAUAAUCCAUGCCAAGCAAAAAGAGAGAAACCCUUAAACUAGCUGCUUCCAAGAAUGAACUUCUGUGUGUGGAAAAAAGAGAAAAAGGAAAAAAAAAAAGGAAAAAAGAAAACAAAAACCAGAAAAA